AGUGAACGCUGGCGGUAGGCCUAACACAUGCAAGUCGAACGGCAGCACAGAGGAGCUUGCUCCUUGGGUGGCGAGUGGCGGACGGGUGAGGAAUACAUCGGAAUCUACUCUGUCGUGGGGGAUAACGUAGGGAAACUUACGCUAAUACCGCAUACGACCUACGGGUGAAAGCAGGGGAUCUUCGGACCUUGCGCGAUUGAAUGAGCCGAUGUCGGAUUAGCUAGUUGGCGGGGUAAAGGCCCACCAAGGCGACGAUCCGUAGCUGGUCUGAGAAGAUGAUCGGCCACACUGGAACUGGGACACGGUCCAGACUCCUACGGGAGGCAGCAGUGGGGAAUAUUGGACAAUGGGCGCAAGCCUGAUCCAGCCAUACCGCGUGGGUGAAGAAGGCCUUCGGGUUGUAAAGCCCUUUUGUUGGGAAAGAAAUCCAUCUGGUUAAUACCCGGGUGGGAUGACGGUACCCAAAGAAUAAGCACCGGCUAACUUCGUGCCAGCAGCCGCCGUAA
rnacentral:rRNA from 1 species